GAGUUUGAUCAUGGNUCAGAAUGAACGCUGGCGGCAGGCCUAACACAUGCAAGUCGAACGGAGUUAUAUUGUAGCUUGCUAUGGUAUAACUUAGUGGCAGGCGGGUGAGUAAUGUAUAGGAAUCCACCUAGUAGUACGGAAUAAUUGUUGGAAACGGCAACUAAUACCGUAUACGCCCUACGGGGGAAAAAUUUAUUGCUAUUAGAUGAGCCUAUAAUAGAUUAGUUAGUUGGUGAGGUAAAGGCUUACCAAGACAAUGAUCUAUAGCUGAUCUGAGAGGAUGAUCAGCCACACUGGAACUGAGAUACGGUCCAGACUCCUACGGGAGGCAGCAGUGGGGAAUAUUGGACAAUGGGCGAAAGCCUGAUCCAGCCAUGCCGCAUGAGUGAAGAAGGCCUUCGGGUUG
rnacentral:rRNA from 2 species